rnacentral:rRNA from 1 species
UACAAUGGCGCAAACAGAGGGAAGCGGACCGGUGACGGCGAGCGAAUCCCAAAAAGUGCGUCCCAGUUCGGAUUGUAGUCUGCAACUCGACUACAUGAAGCCGGAAUCGCUAGUAAUCGCGGAUCAGAAUGCCGCGGUGAAUACGUUCCCGGGCCUUGUACACACCGCCCGUCAAGCCAUGGGAGCCGGGGGUGCCUGAAGUUCGUGACCGCAAGGAGCGACCUAGGGCAAAACUGGUGACUGGGGCUAAGUCGUAACAAGGUACC